GUUAAUUUAGCCAAAACCACAGGAAAGUGGUAUGUCGAUGCAGUAAAGCAGGAGAGAGAGAGAGAGCCUCAUGCUGGGAGGCUGGAGACCUGCGUGUUAGGCUUUGCAAUUCCCAGCCGUCCAGCCUUGGGCGAAUCAUCCUUCCUGGGUCUCACUGUCUCCAUUUGUAAGAUGAGAGGGAGAGCUCAGAGGCUGGAAACUGAAAUGUACAAGGGAUCCCGCAGGUCUUCUUUUAUGUGAGUUGCUUAUACUGAGGUCCAAAAGAUGAAAUAUUCCAAAGGAUGGAAUCUCAGGAAAUGUGGGCUCAGGUGCCUCCUGUAUGCCUGGACCUCAGUAGAGGACCUAGCUGCCAUGCUCCAAGGGACUCGGGGACUUGGUAUACUUGGCAUCAGACAGCU